rnacentral:ncRNA from 1 species
AAAACGGCCCUUUUCAGGGCCACCAAAAUUUACAACACUACUUUUU